UUAAGUUAUUAAGGGCGCACGGUGGAUGCCUUGGCACUAGAAGCCGAUGAAGGACGUUACUAACGACGAUAUGCUUUGGGGAGCUGUAAGUAAGCUUUGAUCCAGAGAUUUCCGAAUGGGGAAACCCAGCAUGAGUUAUGUCAUGUUAUCGAUAUGUGAAUACAUAGCAUAUCAGAAGGCACACCCGGAGAACUGAAACAUCUUAGUACCCGGAGGAAGAGAAAGAAAAUUCGAUUCCCUUAGUAGCGGCGAGCGAAACGGGAAGAGCCCAAACCAACAAGCUUGCUUGUUGGGGUUGUAGGACACUCUAUACGGAGUUACAAAGGACGACAUUAGACGAAUCAUCUGGAAAGAUGAAUCAAAGAAGGUAAUAAUCCUGUAGUCGAAAAUGUUGUCUCUCUUGAGUGGAUCCUGAGUACGACGGAGCACGUGAAAUUCCGUCGGAAUCUGGGAGGACCAUCUCCUAAGGCUAAAUACUCUCUAGUGACCGAUAGUGAACCAGUACCGUGAGGGAAAGGUGAAAAGCACCCCGGAAGGGGAGUGAAAUAGAACCUGAAACCGUGUGCUUACAAGUAGUCAGAGCCCGUUAAUGGGUGAUGGCGUGCCUUUUGUAGAAUGAACCGGCGAGUUACGAUUUGAUGCAAGGUUAAGCAGUAAAUGUGGAGCCGUAGCGAAAGCGAGUCUGAAUAGGGCGUUUAGUAUUUGGUCGUAGACCCGAAACCAGGUGAUCUACCCUUGGUCAGGUUGAAGUUCAGGUAACACUGAAUGGAGGACCGAACCGACUUACGUUGAAAAGUGAGCGGAUGAACUGAGGGUAGCGGAGAAAUUCCAAUCGAACCUGGAGAUAGCUGGUUCUCUCCGAAAUAGCUUUAGGGCUAGCCUCAAGUGAUGAUUAUUGGAGGUAGAGCACUGUUUGGACGAGGGGCCCCUCUCGGGUUACCGAAUUCAGACAAACUCCGAAUGCCAAUUAAUUUAACUUGCGAGUCAGAACAUGGGUGAUAAGGUCCGUGUUCGAAAGGGAAACAGCCCAGACCACCAGCUAAGGUCCCAAAAUAUAUGUUAAGUGGAAAAGGAUGUGGCGUUGCCCAGACAACUAGGAUGUUGGCUUAGAAGCAGCCAUCAUUUAAAGAGUGCGUAAUAGCUCACUAGUCGAGUGACACUGCGCCGAAAAUGUACCGGGGCUAAACAUAUUACCGAAGCUGUGGAUUGUCCUUUGGACAAUGGUAGGAGAGCGUUCUAAGGGCGUUGAAGCAUGAUCGUAAGGACAUGUGGAGCGCUUAGAAGUGAGAAUGCCGGUGUGAGUAGCGAAAGACGGGUGAGAAUCCCGUCCACCGAUUGACUAAGGUUUCCAGAGGAAGGCUCGUCCGCUCUGGGUUAGUCGGGUCCUAAGCUGAGGCCGACAGGCGUAGGCGAUGGAUAACAGGUUGAUAUUCCUGUACCACCUAUAAUCGUUUUAAUCGAUGGGGGGACGCAGUAGGAUAGGCGAAGCGUGCGAUUGGAUUGCACGUCUAAGCAGUAAGGCUGAGUAUUAGGCAAAUCCGGUACUCAUUAAGGCUGAGCUGUGAUGGGGAGAAGACAUUGUGUCUUCGAGUCGUUGAUUUCACACUGCCGAGAAAAGCCUCUAGAUAGAAAAUAGGUGCCCGUACCGCAAACCGACACAGGUAGUCAAGAUGAGAAUUCUAAGGUGAGCGAGCGAACUCUCGUUAAGGAACUCGGCAAAAUGACCCCGUAACUUCGGGAGAAGGGGUGCUCUUUAGGGUUAACGCCCAGAAGAGCCGCAGUGAAUAGGCCCAAGCGACUGUUUAUCAAAAACACAGGUCUCUGCUAAACCGUAAGGUGAUGUAUAGGGGCUGACGCCUGCCCGGUGCUGGAAGGUUAAGAGGAGUGGUUAGCUUCUGCGAAGCUACGAAUCGAAGCCCCAGUAAACGGCGGCCGUAACUAUAACGGUCCUAAGGUAGCGAAAUUCCUUGUCGGGUAAGUUCCGACCCGCACGAAAGGCGUAACGAUUUGGGCACUGUCUCAACGAGAGACUCGGUGAAAUCAUAGUACCUGUGAAGAUGCAGGUUACCCGCGACAGGACGGAAAGACCCCGUGGAGCUUUACUGUAGCCUGAUAUUGAAAUUCGGCACAGCUUGUACAGGAUAGGUAGGAGCCUUUGAAACGUGAGCGCUAGCUUACGUGGAGGCGCUGGUGGGAUACUACCCUAGCUGUGUUGGCUUUCUAACCCGCACCACUUAUCGUGGUGGGAGACAGUGUCAGGCGGGCAGUUUGACUGGGGCGGUCGCCUCCUAAAAGGUAACGGAGGCGCUCAAAGGUUCCCUCAGAAUGGUUGGAAAUCAUUCAUAGAGUGUAAAGGCAUAAGGGAGCUUGACUGCGAGACCUACAAGUCGAGCAGGGUCGAAAGACGGACUUAGUGAUCCGGUGGUUCCGCAUGGAAGGGCCAUCGCUCAACGGAUAAAAGCUACCCCGGGGAUAACAGGCUUAUCUCCCCCAAGAGUUCACAUCGACGGGGAGGUUUGGCACCUCGAUGUCGGCUCAUCGCAUCCUGGGGCUGUAGUCGGUCCCAAGGGUUGGGCUGUUCGCCCAUUAAAGCGGUACGCGAGCUGGGUUCAGAACGUCGUGAGACAGUUCGGUCCCUAUCCGUCGUGGGCGUAGGAAAUUUGAGAGGAGCUGUCCUUAGUACGAGAGGACCGGGAUGGACAUACCUCUGGUGUACCAGUUGUCGUGCCAACGGCAUAGCUGGGUAGCUAUGUGUGGACGGGAUAAGUGCUGAAAGCAUCUAAGCAUGAAGCCCCCCUCAAGAUGAGAUUUCCCAACUUCGGUUAUAAGAUCCCUCAAAGAUGAUGAGGUUAAUAGGUUCGAGGUGGAAGCAUGGUGACAUGUGGAGCUGACGAAUACUAAUCGAUCGAAGACUUAAUCAA
rnacentral:rRNA from 1 species